AAUGAACGCUAGCGGCAGGCUUAAUACAUGCAAGUCGAGGGACAGCACAGGUAGCAAUACUGGGUGGUAACCGGCAAACGGGUGCGGAACACGUACACAACCUUCCUUUAAGUGGGGGAUAGCCCAGAGAAAUUUGGAUUAAUACCCCGUAAUAUAGUUGAAUGGCAUCAUUUGAUUAUUAUAGCUACGGCGCUUAAUGAUGGGUGUGCGGCUGAUUAGAUAGUUGGCGGGGUAACGGCCCACCAAGUCUACGAUCAGUAGCUGAUGUGAGGGCAUGAUCAGCAAAACGGGAACUGGGACACGGGCCCGACUCCUGCGGGAGGCAGCAGUAAGGAAUAUUGGUCAAUGGACGCAAGUCUGAACCAGCCAUGCCGCGUGAAGGAUUAAGGUCCUCUGGAUUGUAAACUUCUUUUAUUUGGGACGAAAAAGGGCCUUUCUAGGUCAAUUGACGGUACCAGAUGAAUAAGCACCGGCUAACUCCGUGCCAGCAGCCGCCGUAACAC
rnacentral:rRNA from 1 species